CCGCAUUUAUGAUUUCCUCCCAUUUCAUUUAUUUUUAUUUAUUUUUGAGAUGGAGUCUCACUCUGUCACCUAGGCUGUAGUGCUUUGGCACAAUCUCGUCUCACUGCAGCCUUCACCCCCCCAGGCUCAAGUGAUUCUCCCGCCUCAUGUCCCCCGAGUAAUUGAGACUACAGGCGUGUGCCACCACACCUGGCUAAUUUUUGUAUUUUUUGUAGAGAUGGGGUUUUGCCAUGUUGCCCAGGCUGGUCUUGAACUCCUACAUUCAAGCAAUUCAGCCUCCCAAAGUGCUGGAUUACAGGGGUGAACCACCACUUCUGGCCUCCAGCCCACUUUAUAUGACUAACUCCUACUCAUCUGUUAGGUGGCAAUUUAUCCAUCACUGCUCCAGAAAGCCAGCCUGGGUGAGAUGCCUCUGCCCUGUGCUCCUGGCGCACUUUCUGAUCAGUUCCCUGGGUCCAAGCACGCAGCACCCUGAGCCCUGACAGCCUGUCCAUCCCCCUCAGCAGCGUCGGCCCCUUGAAGAGUGGGACGGGGUCUGCCUGUUACAGUGUCAUAGUUCCAGGAUGGAAUCUGGUGCCUGCAACAUGAGUGGUGCUUAAUAAAUGCUUGUGGAGUGAACUGCUCAGUGCUACACGAGACUAGAACAAAUGGGCAAAUGUAAAAUGGGACCAGAAAAUCCAGACUGGCUCACAACUGUUUUUACUUUUAUUGGUUCUUUUAUUUUUAUUUAUUUAUUUAUUCAUUUAUUUUUGAGAUAGGGUCUUGCUCUGUUGGCCAUGCAGUGGCUCCAUCAUGGCUCACUGCAGCCUCGACCUCCCAGGCUCAAGUGAUCCUUCCACCUCAGCUUCCUGAGUAGCUACGACUAUAGGCGUGCCACCAUACCCAGUUAAUUUUAGUUAUUUGUUUAUCUAUUUUAUUUUAUUUUAUUUUAUUUUAUUUUAUUUUAUUUUAUUUUAUUUAUUUAAAGACGGAGUCUCGCUCUAUCACCAGGCUGGAGUGCAGUGGUGUGAUCUCAGCUCACUGCAACCUCCACCUCUUGGGUUCAAGCAAUUCUCCUGCCUCAGCCUCCCGAGUAGCUGGGACUACAGGCGCCCGCCACCACGCCCAGCUAAUUUUUUUGUAUUUUUGGUAGAGAUGGGGUUUCACCAUGUUAGCCAGGAUGGUCUUGAUCUCCUGACCUCGUGAUCCGCCUGCCUCAGCCCCCCAAAGUGCUGGGAUUACAGGCAUGAGCCACCGCACCUGGCCAAUUUUUUGUGUGUAUGUGACAAGGUCUUGCUUUAUUGCCCAGGCUGGAGUGCAGUGGCGUAGUCUUGGCUCACUGCAACCUGUUUCCUGGGUUCAAGCAAUUCUGCUGUCUCAGCCUCCCGAGUAGCCGGGAUCACAGGUGUGUGCCACCACGCCCAGCCAAUUUUUGUAUUUUUAGUAGAGAUGGGGUUUCGCCAUGUUGGCCAGGCUGGUCUUGAAUUCCUGAACUUAGGUGAUUCACCCGCCUCAGCCUCCCAAAGUGCUGAGAUUAUAGGCAUGAGCCACCAUGCCCGGCCUAAAUUUUUUUUUUUUUUUUGGAGGUGAAGUCUUGCUCUGUCACCCAGGCUGGAGUGCAGUGGCGCGAUCUUGGCUCACGGCAAGCUCUGCCUCCCGGGUGCACGCCAUUCUCCUGCCUCAGCCUCCCGAGCAGCUGGGACUACAAGCACCCACCACCACACCUGGUUAAUUUUUUUUUUUUUUUUGUAUUUUUAGUAGAGACGGGGUCUCACCGUGUUAGCCAGGAUGGUCUCAAUCUCCUGACCCCGUGACCCGCCCGUCUUGGCCUCCCAAAGUGCUGGGAUUACAGGCAUGAGCCACCACGCCCGGCCCGGCCUAAACUGUGUGUGUGUGUGGAAAUGGGAGAAUUGCUGUGUUGCCCAGGCUGGUCUUGAACUCCCGGCCUUAAACUAUCCUCCUGCCUUGGCCUCCCAAAAUGUUAGGAUUAUAAGCAUGAGCCGCCAUGCCCGGCCACAUAUAUGCUUUUAAAAAGACAAUGCUAAUAAUGCCAAAUUUUUUUUUUUUUGAGGGAUGGAGCAAUUAUUGAUGUCUUUUGGUUUCUCUUUAUUUUCUGAAUUGUCUCUAUUUUAAAAUAAGGAACUUGUAGUAUCUUCAUAACCAGAAAACAAUAAGUAAUUAAAACUCAGAAUAACCCCCUCAAAAGAAGGCAAUGGUAUUUACAGUGGGAAAAAAAAAAGUCAGCUGGGUGCAGUGACUCACACUUGUAAUCUCAACACUUUGGGAUGCUGAGACAAGAGAAUCACUUGAACCCAGGAAUUCAAGACCAGCCUGGGCAACACAGUGAGAACCCCAUAUCCACAGAAAAAUUUAAAAAUUAGCCGGAUGUAGUGGCAUGUGCCUGUAGUCCUAGCUGCUUGGGAGGCUGAGGUGGGAGGAUCACUUGAGCCCAGGAGAUCCAGGCUGCAGUGAGCUAUGAUCAUGCUACUGCACUUCUGCCUGAGUAACAGAGCAAGACCCUUUCUCAAAACAAAACAAAACAAAACAAAACAAAACAAAACAAAAACUAAUUGAACUCUAUGUACUGUAAGCAGGUAUAUUUAUUGUCUGUAAAUUAUGCCCCCAUAAAGUUAAUGUUUAGAAGCUAAAAAUGCCUUUAGAUGGCCUACAUUCAUUUCAAAAUGUGUAUUCUGGCACCUAAGUUAUAAUCUUUAUGGAAGUCUAAUUCAUGUACACUGGCAGUAGGGGUUCCUGGUCAAUUUGCAAGUGUUCUCUUCAAGACAAAGUAAGUUCUCUAAUUUUGGUGCCACCAAUUUAGGAUCUGGAGGUCUGUAGCCUGCUUUAUCAAAGACAACAAUUGUAAUUUGGCUGAAUAAAUGGUUUGCUAAGCAAAGAGUAGACAUAUGUAUAUGCUUGUAUGUGCACAUAUUUCUGGGAAGAAACGGUAGACUGAACAGUGGUCACCUAUGAGGAGUAAGAAGACUCGGGAGCAUGGGGGGGACUUAAUUUUCUUUUUUUCUUUUUUUGAGAUGGAGUCUCCCUCUCUUGCCCAGGUGAUCUGUCUCGUGAUUCGCCUGCCUCGGCCUCCCAAAGUGCUGGGAUGACAGGCGUGAGCCACUGAGCCCGGCCCGUGUUUUUUUUUUUUAAGACAGAAUGUUGCCGGGUACAGUGGCUCAAGCCUGUAAUUCCAGGAUUUUGAGAGGCCCAGGCAGGCGGAUCAACUGUGGUCGGGAGUUCGAGACCAGCCUGACCAACAUGGAGAAAUCCCGUCUCUACUAAAAAUACAAAAUUAGCUGGGUGUGGUGGCGCGUGCCUGUAAUCUCAGCUACUCGGGAAGCUGAGGCAGGAGAAUUGCUUGAACCCGGGAGGCGGAGGCUGCAGUGAGCCAAGAUCGCGCCAUUGCACUCCAGCCUGGGCAACAAGAGGGAAACUCCGUCUCAAAAAAAAAAAAAAAAAAAAAAAAAAAACAACAAAA
rnacentral:lncRNA from 1 species